CUGGGAGCCUGGGUAUAAGGCUAAGGCCCAGGGCAAAGUGAGCAGUUGCUGUAGGGGGCUGAAGGAGCAACAUCCCCAGUCUGGCUGCUCCCAGACCUCCUGGCAGUCAGGGCAGGAGCUACAGGGAGGGGUCUAACAGCAGGAUGCAAACACCCUUCACCACCCACACUUGGAAACAGCACUGUUUCUAUAAGUGCUUCCCAAACGCACAAUCUCUUAUUAGAAGGGCAAUGAAGAGUGAGUGAAAGAUGCACAAAGGAGAUGACUAAAAGCCAAGAGGACGUGUUAAAGCUUGUGCUCGGUAACAAGAGACUUAGUUGUUCAGCUGAAGAUGUUGCCCAUAUGUGCAUGGUUAGCACUGCUUCAGGAACACGUUGGACCUCUGUUCAGUCUCAGGUCCUGAUACAGCCAUUAAGCACCUGUUCAAAUCCUGUGGACUUAGUGAAGCCCAAAGCAGAGCCCCUGUGAGGGUGCAGCAGACCAGGGUAAGGUUGAAAUGAUAAUUGGUAUGGUGAUAAAAUGACACAAUUGUCCUAGAAAAAGAAAUCUGAGUUGUAAAUUUCUGGCGAUGUAAAUCAACUUCCGCCAACUCGUCAUUGCCUUAAAAAAAGCUGUCCUGAUGCAACGUUUCCAUUAUAAACAGAGGGUGCUUAUAAGAACUGCCACUGAUCGGUGAGACCACCGGUCCACCUUGCCCAGUCGCCCUUCUCACAGUGGCAGAGAGCGGAUGCAGAAACGAAGAGCGAACAGGGUAGGACCAGAGAGAUUAUUGUUCUGGCGUGGUUUCCUUGCUCUGCUGGGGAUGAGUCAUUUCCAUGUGAUGUUUUCCCCGCAAUAUAAGUAUCAUGCGGGUCCUCGGCUUUCUUGCCCUCCUAGAAGUCCGAUACCACCUUUCCCUUUCUCCGGUGUCCUGGUGUUUCCCCAGAUGUUCCUAACUUUUCAAACCACCAGUUCAUUAACAGGCUAGAAAACCUCAAAUAAAAUGUCUAGCUUUGGUCAAACAUGACUCGGGAUAUUAAAUGCCAUAAAUGGGUACAGAGACAUUGAGGCUCCUAAAUCACCUUGGGCGAGAUCUGUACCAGACAUAAGCCCGACCUAACCUUGGCAGUGCUUUAUGCUUUUUGGAGUUUCACUCUCAGUUCACACCCCACUUUGACUCUGAUGUAUUUAAAAAUAUAGCAUUUAACAUGCAAACAUAUACCAUGUAAAUUAAAUAGCUCCUGCUCAGCCAAGUCUGACCACUCAGCCUGGCAAGCUGCCUGCACUUACCUUAUGAUGCAGAAUAUGGAGGGUAGAGAAAUAAGUUGUUGGAAAAUAUCUUUGUGCUGGGAUCAUCCUUUAGGACAGCAAAUGUUAGGGCUGAAAGAAACUGACUGUGUCCCUUUAAAAAAAAGAAAUGUUGGCA